rnacentral:misc_RNA from 1 species
GUGAAUCAUCGAAUCUUUGAACGCAAAUUGCACUCUCUGGUAUUCCGGAGAGGAUGCCUGUUUGAGGUUCAGUUUAAAUAAAAAUCGGUGUGGUUGCUUCCUUUCUUGGUGACGCACCGGGGUUGGGUAGUCUUGGUUUCGGUUAAGUGCCCUAGAAUCUUCCAUGAUUUUUUGCGAACGUAUUUAAAUGAUUUGACGUACGUUAGCGAUAUCUACUACUUUGUGUUGUCUGCCUGAUUAUUCGCGCCUAUAAUUUUUCAUGAAAAUGACCUCGAAUCA